rnacentral:rRNA from 1 species
GCCCUUCUCUAAGGAAUAGCCUCUGGAAACGGAGAGUAAUACCUUAUACGCCCUUCGGGGGAAAGAUUUAUCGGAGAAGGAUUAGCCCGCGUAAGAUUAGAUAGUUGGUGGGGUAAUGGCCUACCAAGUCUACGAUCUUUAGCUGGUUUGAGAGGAUGAUCAGCAACACUGGGACUGAGACACGGCCCAGACUCCUACGGGAGGCAGCAGUGGGGAAUCUUAGACAAUGGGCGCAAGCCUGAUCUAGCCAUGCCGCGUGAGUGACGAAGGCCUUAGGGUCGUAAAGCUCUUUCGCCAGAGAUGAUAAUGACAGUAUCUGGUAAAGAAACCCCGGCUAACUCCGUGCCAGCAGCCGCGGUAAUACGGAGGGGGUUAGCGUUGUUCGGAAUUACUGGGCGUAAAGCGUACGUAGGCGGAUUAGUCAGUCAGAGGUGAAAUCCCAGGGCUCAACCCUGGAACUGCCUUUGAUACUGCUAGUCUUGAGUUCGAGAGAGGUGAGUGGAAUUCCAAGUGUAGAGGUGAAAUUCGUAGAUAUUUGGAGGAACACCAGUGGCGAAGGCGGCUCACUGGCUCGAUACUGACGCUGAGGUACGAAAGUGUGGGGAGCAAACAGGAUUAGAUACCCUGGUAGUCCACACCGUAAACGAUGAAUGCCAGUCGUCGGGCAGUAUACUGUUCGGUGACACACCUAACGGAUUAAGCAUUCCGCCUGGGG